rnacentral:rRNA from 1 species
AGCGAACGCUGGCGGCAGGCCUAACACAUGCAAGUCGAACGAACCUUUCGGGGUUAGUGGCGGACGGGUGAGUAACACGUGGGAACGUGCCUUUAGGUUCGGAUAACUCAGGGAAACUUGUGCUAAUACCGAAUGUGCCCUUCGGGGGAAAGAUUAAUCGCCUUUAGAGCGGCCCGCGUCUGAUUAGCUAGUUGGUUGAGGUAAUGGCUCACCAAGGCGACGAUCAGUAGCUGGUCUGAGAGGAUGAUCAGCCACAUUGGGACUGAGACACGGCCCAAACUCCUACGGGAGGCAGCAGUGGGGAAUCUUGCGCAAUGGGCGAAAGCCUGACGCAGCCAUGCCGCGUGAAUGAUGAAGGUCUUAGGAUUGUAAAAUUCUUUCACCGGGGACGAUAAUGACGGUACCCGGAGAAGAAGCCCCGGCUAACUUCGUG